AUUGAACGCUGGCGGUAUGCUUAACACAUGCCAGUCGAACGGCAGCAUGGUCUAGCUUGCUAGACUGAUGGCGAGUGGCGGACGGGUGAGUAACGCGUAGGAAUAUGCCUUGAAGAGUGGGACAACUCGGGGAAACUCAAGCUAAUACCGCAUGUACUCGAGAGAGUAAAGCUGGGGACCUUUAGGCCUGGCGCUUUAAGAUUAGCCUGCGUCCGAUUAGCUAGUUGGUAGGGUAAAGGCCUACCAAGGCGACGAUCGGUAGCUGGUCUGAGAGGAUGAUCAGCCACACUGGAACUGAGAGACGGUCCAGACUCCUACGGGAGGCAGCAGUGGGGAAUAUUGGACAAUGGGGGGAACCCCGAUCCAGCAAUGCCGCGUGUGUGAAGAAGGCCUGAGGGUUGUAAAGCACUUUCAGUGGGGAGGAGGUUUGGAAGGUUAAGAGCUAUUCAAAUGGACGUUACCCACAGAAGAAGCACCGACUAACUCCGUGCCAGCCGCCGCCGUAA
rnacentral:rRNA from 1 species